rnacentral:rRNA from 1 species
GAACGAGAAAGUGGAGCAAUCCAUGAGUAAAGUGGCGACCGGGUGAGUAACACGUGACUAACCUACCUUCGAGUGGGGGAUAACCUCGGGAAACCGGGGCUAAUACCGCAUAACACCGCAAGGUCAAAGCAGCAAUGCGUUUGGAGAGGGGGUCGCGGCUGAUUAGCUAGUUGGCGGGGUAACGGCCCACCAAGGCGAAGAUCGGUAUCCGGCCUGAGAGGGCGCACGGACACACUGGAACUGAAACACGGUCCAGACUCCUACGGGAGGCAGCAGUGGGGAAUUUUGCGCAAUGGGGGAAACCCUGACGCAGCAACGCCGCGUGGAGGAUGAAGCCCUUUGGGGCGUAAACUCCUUUCGACUCGGACGAUAAUGACGGUACGAGUGGAAGAAGCACCGGCUAACUCUGUG